AGAUAGUGAUUAGAUGAUUUACUCACGCUUUUCAGGUUCUAUGAAGUAUAUAUGACAAAAAAUGGUUGAAUUUUUUUUUUAACAUGAAUCU
rfam:Capsicum annuum cultivar Zunla-1 chromosome 11, whole genome shotgun sequence